UACAGAGGUCUCAAGCGUUUGUUCGGAUUCAUUGGGCGUAAAGGGUGCGUAGGUGGCGAGGCAAGUCAGAUGUGAAAUCCCGGGGCUCAACCCCGGAACUGCAUUUGAAACUGCCUUGCUCGAGUACUGGAGAGGAGACUGGAAUUUACGGUGUAGCAGUGAAAUGCGUAGAUAUCGUAAGGAAGACCAGUGGCGAAGGCGAGUCUCUGGACAGUUACUGACACUGAGGCACGAAGGCCAGGGGAGCAAACGGG
rnacentral:rRNA from 1 species